UGGGGAAUAUUGCACAAUGGGGGAAACCCUGAUGCAGCGACGCCGCGUGAGUGAAGAAGUAUUUCGGUAUGUAAAGCUCUAUCAGCAGGGAAGAAAAUGACGGUACCUGACUAAGAAGCCCCGGCUAACUACGUGCCAGCAGCCGCGGUAAUACGUAGGGGGCAAGCGUUAUCCGGAUUUACUGGGUGUAAAGGGAGCGUAGACGGCUGUGCAAGUCUGAUGUGAAAGGGCAGGGGGCUCAACUCCUGGACUGCAUUGGAAACUGUGUAGCUUGAGUGCCGGAGAGGUAAGCGGAAUUCCUAGUGUAGCGGUGAAAAUGCGUAGAUAUUAGGAGGAACACCAGUGGCGAAGGCGACUUACUGGACUGUAACUGACGUUGAGGCACGAAAGUGUGGGGAGCAAAACAGGAUUAGAUACCC
rnacentral:rRNA from 1 species